NNNNCAGAGAGAUACAGAGAGAGAGAGAUACAGAGAGAUACAGAGAGAGAGAGAUACAGAGAGAUACAGAGAGAGAGAGAGAGAGAUACAGAGAGAUACAGAGAGAGAUACAGAGAGAGAGAUACAGAGAGAGAGAUACAGAAAGAGAAAGAGAGAGGUCAUGCUUCAGAUGAGCUCCUGAACUUUCUUUUAUUUUUUCUAUUUUAAAAUGAGAUAGAACUUAGAAAACAACACAUAUUAAAUCAUAGUUAGGUAGUAAACCUAAACGGAUAAUUUUUGUUUAAAAGUUAGUCAAUUUGGUUGAAAUAUAUAAAGAAAUCUUACAACUAGCUUAGCUUAGCUUAGCAUAGCAAAUCUAGCUCACAAAGUGUCACAGAAGAAAAGAAGAAGAAAAGAAGAGGACAAUACCUGGAACAGAAGCAAAAAAGGGAAGAAUAGAGAAUUAAAAUUCGAUUCUGUCUGAUAAAGAGGAAAAGAAGACAGCUACAGAAUAAUAUCUACAGAAAAGCAGGGAUCUAAGCAGCUAAAGAACAGAGGGACUGGAUUCACUAAACCAGCAGACAGCUCUGAGUUUUUCUCCACAUCAGGGGUAAGGAAACACCUACCAGAGAUAAAUACUGUGGAUGAUCAUUUAUUACAGAACUUUAAUCAGCCUUAAACAGUAGAUAUUUGCUGCUUUCCUAUCAAACUGCUAAAGUUUUUAGCAGAGCUGCUAAUCCUGAGACUGAGACAGUUAGAGGGGCCCCUCACCAUAAACUGUUUUGGCAUUUUUUAAAAACGCUACACUGUGUGAGAAUGGCUGGAGCAGCAGCAGAGCCCCGCCCACAAACAUUCCACUUCCCCACAGACACUCUGUCUGAGAGCAGCAAACAACAGCACAAGCUGAAAACACAGAGAGAAAACCCAGAAACCUUAUUUAAAGACUGCAGUGUGAUUAAAGGGAAAACCACCACGACCAACCUGCUGUUUUACACACAGGACACAGACGUGUGGCAUGCUGCUAUCUGCAGUCACUAUAAAUAUGUGACAAAACGUGGAAUCUGCAAAGGCCGUCAGAUCUACAUUUUUGAGGAUAGUGAAAGAGAAUCAGACAACAGAAUCCUAUCAAUCAACCUGUAUCAGAAUGGAACAGUGAUGAUACAGGGAAGUGAGGCUGCACUCACACAGUUUGAGAAGACCUUUCCCACACUUAAAACUCAGUGUAAAAAUGAGAGAGAACCAGAUCCCAGCCUGGAUCUCCCACCUGAAGAGCACAGUGCACAGAGAGAACCACAACCCCUCCACAGCCACACCCCUACUGUAGAAGACACGCCCCCUUCAACCAGCACUGCCCCUUUUCCGAGUCCACGCCUCCUCAGCACUGUGACCCAGCUCAGAGACAGUCUCUCUAUGAUGGAGGCAGAGCUAAUUGGGCUCAAGGAACAAAUGCAAACUCACAUCUCCACAAAUUCAGAUUCUGAACCUCUCAGAGAUCAGAUCAACCAGACAAAACACCAGCUGAAAGUAGCUGUGCAGGAUCUGAGAAAAGAAGUCCAUGGCCUGCUUAAUGACAGAGAGGUUCUGAGAAAGGAGCUGGACGAAUAUAAAGAGAGUGCACAGAAAGAGUUUGCAGACCUAAAACAGGAGCUGAACCAAGAAUUAUUGAGCCUCAGACAGGAGAUACACCUCAGAGACACAGUCAUAGAGUCUCUAAAAGAACAACUAAAAUCCCAAUCAUCCCCCAUGAAUACUGCCCAUACUAAAGAUGCCCAACUCACCCAAAGCUCCUCAGACACUGCUCCUAACCCCACCAGGUCAGAGGACACCCAGACACCGCUCACCACACAAAGAGAACAUACUGAACCAAUUGCAGAGACUGCCACAGUGCCCCAAAAUCACCAAGAAAACAAAACUCAUACCGCCCCAAUCCGAGACCCCAGAGCCAGCAGACCUUCUGCAUCACACACAGAUGCAGAAGUAGCAAUACUUAUUGACUCAAACGGAAAGUUCUUACAAGAAGAAAAACUUUUCCCAGGAAGGAAAACUACAAAGAUAUGGUGCCCAAGAACAAGAGACGCCCAUCAAAUCCUGUCUGGCAACAUCCUUGACAAGCCCACCUGCAUCAUCAUUCAUACAGGCACAAACGACCUUAGAGCUGAGCAGGAGAGAGUUGGUGGAUUAGUGUGUAGAGUAGCACAGAGAGCUGCAGAAAACUUCCCCAGUGCCAAGAUCAUAGUCUCCACCCUCCUUCCUCGCAAGGACUUUCAUCCAGCCACCAUCCAGAAAGUCAAUGCUGAAAUUUCAAGAGGAUGUUCCCUGAUCCCUAAUGUGCACCUGGCCCACCACUCCAACAUCGGCCCCCAUCAUCUUUAUGAUCACGUGCACUUAAACAGAAACACUGUUAAAGAAUUUGCCAAAACUUUGAAAGACGUGGCACUGGGUCGACAAAGACAUGUAGGUCCUAAACCCAUGUACAGAGAAGGAGAGCAUGCAGCAAUGCAAAGGUUCCACACAAUCACAAGGAGCCCACCCACACGUAAACCCCCCCAAAGGCCACCGCCUGGACUCCAGCGAUACCAGCUCAACUUACCUCAGUCAUCUCAGCAUGUCCCACCUGCCAGACCUGCACCCCGGCCUUCACCACCCAAAGCAAAGCCCCACCACCCACCAAUUUCAUCAACCCACCAGAACCAACCAGAGAGCAGAGCUACAGAAGCCCCACUGCCCCAGACUCACAACCCACAGCAACAGUGCAGCUACGCAGAUGCUCUCAAAGGAACCCACACCAAAAAGGACAUGGGUGAGAUCAAGCAAUUACUGCAAUAUAUCUGCACCAGACUUGUGUAGGAACUACAAAAACUAAAA
ensembl:lncRNA